GAGUUUGAUCAUGGCUCAGAUUGAACGCUGGCGGCAUGCCUUACACAUGCAAGUCGAACGGCAGCAUGAUCUAGCUUGCUAGAUUGAUGGCGAGUGGGCGAACGGGUGAGUAAUACAUCGGAACGUGCCCUGUAGUGGGGGAUAACUAGUCGAAAGAUUAGCUAAUACCGCAUACGACCUGAGGGUGAAAGUGGGGGACCGCAAGGCCUCAUGCUAUAGGAGCGGCCGAUGUCUGAUUAGCUAGUUGGUGGGGUAAAGGCCCACCAAGGCGACGAUCAGUAGCUGGUCUGAGAGGACGAUCAGCCACACUGGGACUGAGACACGGCCCAGACUCCUACGGGAGGCAGCAGUGGGGAAUUUUGGACAAUGGGCGAAAGCCUGAUCCAGCAAUGCCGCGUGUGUGAAGAAGGCCUGGUGUAAAGCACUUUGUC
rnacentral:rRNA from 1 species